rnacentral:rRNA from 1 species
GACGAACCGUGCGAACGUUAUUCGGAAUCAUUGGGCUUAAAGGGCGCGUAGGCGGCGGCGUAAGUUGGAAGUGAAAUCCCAUCGGCUCAACCGUGGAAUCGCUCCCAGUACUGCGUCGCUCGAGGGGGAUAGGGGUCUGCGGAACUACCGGUGGAGCGGUGAAAUGUGUUGAUAUCGGUGGGAACGCCAGUGGCGAAAGCGGCAGACUUGACCCUUCCUGACGCUGAGGCGCGAAAGCUAGGGGA